UACGUAGGGGGGCAAGCGUUGUCCGGAUUUAUUGGGCGUAAAGAGCGUGUAGGCGGCUUUACAGGUCCGUUGUGAAAACUCGAGGCUCAACCUCGAGACGCCGGUGGAAACCGUAAGGCUAGAGUCCGGAAGAGGAGAGUGGAAUUCCUGGUGUAGCGGUGAAAUGCGCAGAUAUCAGGAGGAACACCCGUGGCGAAAGCGGCGUCUCUGGGACGGUACUGACGCUGAGACGCGAAAAGCGUGGGGAGCAAACAGG
rnacentral:rRNA from 1 species